UAGAAAGAAAGCUUGGCCAUUUGGUCUUCUAAGGUGUAAGAGAACAAGAAAUAUCAUCACAGCUGAUACACAAACAUCAACUAGUUACCUGCACUGGGAAA